rnacentral:rRNA from 1 species
UAAUUGAUUAUGACGUACUUGUACUGAUUGAGAUUUUAACACGAAGUGAGUGGCGAACGGGUGAGUAACACGUGGGUAACCUGCCCAGAAGUAGGGGAUAACACCUGGAAACAGAUGCUAAUACCGUAUAACAGAGAAAACCGCAUGGUUUUCUUUUAAAAGAUGGCUCUGCUAUCACUUCUGGAUGGACCCGCGGCGUAUUAGCUAGUUGGUGAGGUAAAGGCUCACCAAGGCAGUGAUACGUAGCCGACCUGAGAGGGUAAUCGGCCACAUUGGGACUGAGACACGGCCCAGACUCCUACGGGAGGCAGCAGUAGGGAAUCUUCCACAAUGGACGCAAGUCUGAUGGAGCAACGCCGCGUGAGUGAAGAAGGGUUUCGGCUCGUAAAGCUCUGUUGUUAAAGAAGAACGUGGGUAAGAGUAACUGUUUACCCAGUGACGGUAUUUAACCAGAAAGCCACGGCUAACUACGUGCCAGCAGCCGCGGUAAUACGUAGGUGGCAAGCGUUAUCCGGAUUUAUUGGGCGUAAAGCGAGCGCAGGCGGUCUUUUAAGUCUAAUGUGAAAGCCUUCGGCUCAACCGAAGAAGUGCAUUGGAAACUGGGAGACUUGAGUGCAGAAGAGGACAGUGGAACUCCAUGUGUAGCGGUGAAAUGCGUAGAUAUAUGGAAGAACACCAGUGGCGAAGGCGGCUGUCUGGUCUGCAACUGACGCUGAGGCUCGAAAGCAUGGGUAGCGAACAGGAUUAGAUACCCUGGUAGUCCAUGCCGUAAACGAUGAUUACUAAGUGUUGGAGGGUUUCCGCCCUUCAGUGCUGCAGCUAACGCAUUAAGUAAUCCGCCUGGGGAGUACGACCGCAAGGUUGAAACUCAAAAGAAUUGACGGGGGCCCGCACAAGCGGUGGAGCAUGUGGUUUAAUUCGAAGCUACGCGAAGAACCUUACCAGGUCUUGACAUCUUCUGACAGUCUAAGAGAUUAGAGGUUCCCUUCGGGGACAGAAUGACAGGUGGUGCAUGGUUGUCGUCAGCUCGUGUCGUGAGAUGUUGGGUUAAGUCCCGCAACGAGCGCAACCCUUAUUACUAGUUGCCAGCAUUAAGUUGGGCACUCUAGUGAGACUGCCGGUGACAAACCGGAGGAAGGUGGGGACGACGUCAAAUCAUCAUGCCCCUUAUGACCUGGGCUACACACGUGCUACAAUGGAUGGUACAACGAGUCGCGAGACCGCGAGGUUAAGCUAAUCUCUUAAAACCAUUCUCAGUUCGGACUGUAGGCUGCAACUCGCCUACACGAAGUCGGAAUCGCUAGUAAUCGCGGAUCAGCAUGCCGCGGUGAAUACGUUCCCGGGCCUUGUACACACCGCCCGUCACACCAUGAGAGUUUGUAACACCCAAAGCC